rnacentral:rRNA from 1 species
CCAGUGCUGCUGGUAGGCAACCACAUGUUGCUGGGGAUCGAGCUCAUCUCUCUUGCCGCGGAGUUCAUGCGGCACAAGAAGGCUGUCGUCCGUGGCAUUGCACACCCGCUGCUGUUCCCAAAGAAGACGAAGACGUGGUCGGAGGGACACGACUUCUUCGACUUCCUCAACCUGUGGGGCGGCGUGCCCAUGACCUACAAGUACAUAUACGAGUUGCUGGCAGCUGGGGAGUUGGUGCUCCUCUACCCAGGUGGUUACAGGGAGGCAAUCCACUGCAAGGGUGAAGAGCACAGGAUUUUCUGGCCAGACCAGACUGAAUUUGUUAGGAUGGCAGCUCAGUUGAAUGCCACAAUCGUGCCGUUUGGAGUCGUCGGAGAGGAUGACCUCUUGAACCUUCUUUGUACGUUCGACGAUAUCAGGAGCAUGCCUUUCGGCAGGGAGAUGAUGCGGGCCUACAGUAAGCAUCUGAAGCUAAGGGAUGCCAAGCACGAGGUGAUCUUCCCGGGCGUGUGCCUAAAGAUCCCGGGCCGGUUCUACUACCGGUUUGGGAAGCCGAUCCUGAUGCGGGAGAGGCAGGACGUCCUCACCGACCGGCACGCGGCGACGGACCUCUACACGCACAUCAAGUCGGAGGUGCAAGGCAUCAUCUCCUACCUGCUGGAUAAGCGGGAGGAGGACGAGUACAGGAAGAUCUCGCGGAGGCUCAUGUUCAUGGCUUCCCAGGGGUUCGACACCCAAGUUCCGUCGUUCGAUCCUUGA